GUCCACGCCGUAAACGAUGAGCACUAGAUUUGGGGGGAUUUGACCCCUUCCGAGUCGCAGCUAACGCAUUAAGUGCUCCGCCUGGGGAGUACGGUCGCAAGACUAAAACUCAAAGGAAUUGACGGGGGCCCGCACAAGCGGUGGAUUAUGUGGUUUAAUUCGAAGCAACGCGCAGAACCUUACCUGGGCUUGAAAUCCCGAGAACCUGCCUGAAAGGGCGGGGUGCUCUUCGGAGAAUUCGGUGACAGGCGCUGCAUGGCU
rnacentral:rRNA from 1 species